AAACUGACUGAUCCUGCCAGUAGUCAUAUGCUUGUCUCAAAGAUUAAGCCAUGCAUGUCUAAGUACAUACCUUACAACGAUGAAACCGAGAAUGGCUCAUUAAAUCAGCUAUGGUUGCUUAGAUCAUAUAUAUAUAGUACAUGGAUAACUGUAGUAAUUCUAGAGCAAAUACAUGCAAUUAUGCCAUGACCCCAAGGGAAUGGGUGCAUUUAUUAGAACAGAACCAACCGGGAGCAGUUUCGGCUGUCUCUGUUGAAUUCUGUAAUGACUCUGGAUAACUUUAAUGAUCGCGGUUGGCCUUGUGUCGGCGACGGAUCUUUCAA
rnacentral:ncRNA from 1 species